rnacentral:misc_RNA from 1 species
CUGAGUCGUCGACACGAGUUGUUGCUGGUCCUCGAACAGGGGACAUGUGCACGCUCUGUUUACACAUCCACUCACACCUGUGCACCUUCUGUAGUUCUGUGGCUGGGAGGGCUCUGUCCCCCUGCUGUGGUUCUGCAUCUUUACACAUACACUGUAACAAAGUUUAUGGAAUGUACAUCGCGUUUAACGCAAUACAAUA